rnacentral:rRNA from 1 species
UACGUAGGGGGCAAGCGUUGUCCGGAAUCAUUGGGCGUAAAGAGCGCGUAGGCGGCCCUGUAAGUCCGCUGUGAAAGUCAAGGGCUCAACCCUUGAAUGCCGGUGGAUACUGCGGGGCUAGAGUCCGGAAGAGGUGAGUGGAAUUCCUGGUGUAGCGGUGAAAUGCGCAGAUAUCAGGAGGAACACCGGUGGCGAAGGCGGAUCUCUGGGCCUUACCUGACGCUCAGGUGCGAAAGCUAGGGGAGCGAACAGG